GAGCUUUCUUUGUCAUUAAUUCUGUCUUCAGUCUUGCAGAUUUUUGUAAUUUCCGUGUGCAAUUUGAUAUAGUAUUAUACAGUGAUAUAAUUCUCCAUCUAUGUCUCUUGCUAUGCCUAUGUUUUAGUGAAGUCAAUAUGCCCACUAUGACCCAUAGGUGUGUAUUUUAAGGAUGUCUGAGGAGGGUAUCAUAUUUGACUGUCAAAAUAAUUAUAGUGAAAUAUUGAUCAAUGCAUACCAUGUACCCAUGUAUAUAUAUAUACCCAUGUUUGAUUUGUACAGAUUAUGUCGAAGAAAUAUUUCAAACUUUUCUCAAUGUUACCAAAGAUGAUCUUAAAAAGGCAGCCAAGCAACUCAAAGAGUACGGUGUCUUUGCAAAGUGUUGCCCACUGCCUGUGGCCCAUAGAUAAGUUACCCAGUAUGCUUGCUGUUAAUAUAAAUCUUUUUGUUACUGUAGUUUCACUACUACGUUGUUGAACAGAGCCAAAAGAAGUCUAAAGCAGCACCAAAAUGCAGGGCAUGUGAACAACCCAUGAAAGGACACAAGUUUGUUACAGACUGUCCAAGGAAUGAAAGGAGCACAUCAUAGUGUAUUAUAUGGAUAAGGCAUUUGAGGAGGGAGGGCAUAUUGGGAGGGUUUUUUUUUCAGAAGGGCAU